rnacentral:tRNA from 1 species
GGGAAUGAUUGGGUGGCUGGUGCCCUCCGCGGCCUUCAAAGCCGUUGAAUGUAGUAAUACUGCAUUGCUGGAUUCGAUUUCCAGGCAUUCCCG